AAUAAGAAGAAGAAGAAGAAGAAGAAAAAGAAGUAGAAGAAAAACAGAAAAGGAUAGGAGUCCUAAUGCGAAAUUGACUGCAUACAAACCAAAUUGAGGGUAAAAGAAACGCGUUGGCGAAGUCGGUUCGGCAAUCCGUCGAGCCUACGCAAAGAUAUCGCCGAAAAGACGUUUUCGGCAUCAAUUGGCACGAGCGCGGGUCGCGGUUCUCGGGAAAGUGCGGGAAGUGGAUUUCUCGCGUUCCGGUAUCAGAUAAAGGUCGACGACGUGCUAAUUACGGUAGAGACCGUUCUAGUUCCAUUUGCACUGAGUCGCGAGAGAUAGUUGUCGAUGCAUUCCGAGACCUUGAUCUUAGUUGAUUGACACCACUACAGGUUCCAGUGCGAGCGUUGUGGCCGAGGAUCGAGGCAAGAGCCCAGCAUCCUAGCUAGCUGACACCAGAGUUAUAGUUGUUUAACAUUUUGGGUUCAUGUAUCAUCUAUUUCGAUGUACAGAGACAUGUAAAUGAAUGUAUAUAAAGCAUGUAAUAACUAAAUGUUUCAGUUAUGUAAAGUUUUAAAUUACAGUGGAUUUCAUGUUUA